AACGAACGCUGGCGGCAUGCCUAACACAUGCAAGUCGAACGAGACCUUCGGGUCUAGUGGCGCACGGGUGCGUAACGCGUGGGAACCUGCCCUUAGGUUCGGAAUAACCCCCCGAAAGGGGUGCUAAUACCGGAUAAUGUCUUCGGACCAAAGAUUUAUCGCCUUUGGAUGGGCCCGCGUUGGAUUAGCUAGUUGGUAGGGUAAAAGCCUACCAAGGCGACGAUCCAUAGCUGGUCUGAGAGGAUGAUCAGCCACACUGGGACUGAGACACGGCCCAGACUCCUACGGGAGGCAGCAGUGGGGAAUAGUGGACAAUGGGCGAAAGCCUGAUCCAGCAAGGCCGCGUGAGUGAUGAAGGCCUUAGGGUUGUAAAGCUCUUUUACCCGGGAUGAUAAUGACAGUACCGGGAGAAUAAGCCCCGGCUAACUCCGUG
rnacentral:rRNA from 1 species